UACCAGCACCCCGAGUGGUCGGGACGAUUAUUGGGCCUAAAGCAUCCGUAGCCGGUUCUACAAGUCUUCCGUUAAAUCCACCUGCUUAACAGAUGGGCUGCGGAGGAUACUAUGGAGCUGAGGAGGCGGGAGAGGCAAGCGGUACUUAGUGGGUAGGGGUAAAAUCCGUUGAUCCAUGAAGACCACCAGUGGCGAAGGCGGCUUGCCAGAACGCACUCGACGG
rnacentral:rRNA from 1 species